GCGAGCUAUUAUAGCAUAGUAAUCGCCCAGGUCGCUUUAGGCUUAACAAAUUCUUACUGGGCUUUAUAUGUAUUAUAAGCGCACUCACUCGAAAACUAAACAUUUCUUCACACGCUAGGCAUUAUAAUAGCACUCUAGGUUCAUAAAAAAAUUCAUAUAAAACUUACUUGACGAUCUACUGGCGAUUUUGACGAUCAACAGAUGUCAAUGCUUUUUAUAUUCGAUUUGUACCACGGCUGAGUAAAAUAAACCAGGCAGGACUGGUUAAUUUUUGAAGCGUCAAAUUUAUCAGUUUAAGGCUGACCACGGAACAUACCGAGGGGAAAACAACACGAGCGAAUGGUGGGACAGUGUUGGGCGAAUAAUGAGCGAAUGAAGGCGAACAAUGGGGAAAUAAUAGGCGAAUAAUGGGCGAAUGGCUGAACGGUGGGACAAGAUUUUCCAUUGCUCUUUCCCCCUCGGAACAUACAAACCUUGAUCUAUGUUUAGUUGUCAGCAAUGACCAGUCUUGAUCAUCAAGCACUCAGUGGACGUUAUUUAACACCUACUGUGGAAGUUUUAUGACACUCUAUGGGAAUAAAGUAUCGAAAAAGCGUCGACUGUUCUAUUUUAUUACCGUUCAGUUUGUAAAAUCGAUUUUAUUGUGUAAGCCAUUAUAAAUAUUUAGAAUUU